CCUACGGGUGGCAGCAGUGAGGAAUAUUGGUCAAUGGGCGUAAGCCUGAACCAGCCAAGUCGCGUGAAGGAUGACUGUCCUAUGGAUCGUAAACUUCUUUUAUAAAGGAAUAAAACGUGGCACGUGUCCUUUUUUGCAUGUACUUUAUGAAUAAGGAUCGGCUAACUCCGUGCCAGCAGCCGCGGUAAUACGGAGGAUCCGAGCGUUAUCCGGAUUUAUUGGGUUUAAAGGGAGCGUAGAUGGGUUGUUAAGUCAGUUGUGAAAGUUUGCGGCUCAACCGUAAAAUUGCAGUUGAUACUGGCAGUCUUGAGUAUAGUUGAGGUAGGCGGAAUGCGUGGUGUAGCGGUGAAAUGCUUAGAUAGCACGCAGAACCCCGAUUGCGAAGGCAGCUUACUAAACUGUGACUGACAUUGAUGCUCGAAAGUGUGGGGAUCAAACAGGAUUAGAUACCCCGGUAGUC
rnacentral:rRNA from 1 species